GUCAGUUUGGCCGAGUGGUUAAGGCGAUUGACUCGAAUUUGCGGUUCACGUCAGGACUUUAAGUAGUCUGUAGGACCUCUCGCUAUCAAUUCCGUUCGCGGGCGUAGGUUCGAAUCCUACAGCUGACG
rfam:Penicillium arizonense strain CBS 141311 PENARI_contig002, whole genome shotgun sequence.